rnacentral:piRNA from 1 species
UAUUGUUUGCCAUUGGUAGGUGUGC